GGAAGGAGAAUGUUUGUUCUGUUCUUCUGAAGAAGUUUGAAGCAGAGCCCAGGCCGGGCCCCUGAUGAAAGGCUUCGUGAUGCCACACUCCCUUGAGGAGAUUUUGAAGGAAUCCAAUUUGCUGCGAGAUACAAAUGAAACUGUUUACCCGAACAGGUUUUUUCCCCUCCGCGUGUAAUCCAAUCUUCCAAGUCAGUGGAUUCCUGCCGUACCGUUCUGCUAAGGCACACACUGCCUCGUUGUGCACAUCCAGUUAUAACAUUACAAGAAGUAUCAAAGGCUCUGACAGCGUUGCAGGGCUGUUUGCAGUUCUGAAUGGCCAGAAUUGUCCCAUGUGCUGGCCGAAGUUCUGGUCCUGAAGCACGAUGUUUCUCAGCUGGCAAUCUAGGUCACCUGGAUGUUUGUAAGGCUUAUGUCAUUCUUUGCCAUGAACGCAGAAGACAUAAAAAGAUGUUUGUCUCUUUGUCUGUUCUGCAUUUAUCCUGGAAAAGAGAUUGGAGAACUCGCAAAAUUAUUCCUUCCAAUUUCUGACAUGAACUAUGAAGAAAGCUGUAUCUGCUCAAGAUCCCAUGCCGCAGAUUUAUGUAGCUGAAACUGCUGAAAACUCACUGCUAAAACAAAGAGGGGAAAAGGCUGAUUUCCAGAUUUUUAUAAGAUAAACAUCAAACAAAUUCCCAAGCGAAUGGAUUGCAAUGCCUCUAAAAACACGUGGAAACAAGGAUUACUUCUGUUCAGGAACAAGACAAGUGAAGGACAUUUUGCAGGAGCCAAAUUCCAGACAACUGGUAAACUCUGUAGCAACAGCAAAAAAAAACUCCAGCUUUCCAUAUAGCUUCCAGCUACCUCUGGUACAGGAGACAGUGAAGGCUGUGUGGUGAUGUGGGCUUGAAACCCAGCAAGUCCUAGGGUAUAUUCUUACUUCUGCUACAGGCUUGCUUUGCAACCAUUCAUUAGUUUCUGGAGAGGAACGGAAGAGUUUGAUCUUACUUAAAAUAAAUUCCACAGCAUAUCACCUUAGGCAAGCUUCUGUAUAAAGAUAAUAAUGUUUACUCCUUAACUUUACAAGGGUACUGGGGCUGUUAUUACAGCUGUAGCACUUUGACCGUGGAAAUGCUACGUUGUCAUAAUUUUCUGUCCUUCACUCCGUUGUGUCUAAAGGAGGACUUUGAGAUUUAUUGUUCUCAGCCAUCCCUCAUUCCUGGUGCUGAAGACAUCAAGAAAUGGUGGUUGAACUAGGUGAUCUUAGUGAUAUUUUCCAAUCUUAAUGAUUCUGUGAUUCUGCACUUCUGUGAAAUCAUGCUCACCUGUUCCAAAAGUUUGUGGGUGAAUAUUAAACAAAGUUCAGGCUUUGACUCCCCUUUGGUCCAUGUUACUGCAAUGCUAGAAGAAAAGGUAACCAGGUGAGAGGCUGUGGCUCAAGGAUGCAUAAUCCAUUGCCUUUCUCUGGGUAUCAGUGACACUCACAGAAUCACAUUCUUGGAAAAGCUGCUCCUCUGAGACUGUUGAUUUUCUCCAUUUCAGGAUCAGUAUUAUCAAACAAACUGUUAUUUCUUCCUUCGGGGACAGAUUUCUACUGCAAAUAAGUAUGGCUCAUAUUCUGUCAUCUUUAGAAUUGUAACCCACAUUUUAUUGCUUGACAUGAAAAUGCUAUUUUCAACACUUCUAUCUUAACUAAGUCAGAGCCUGCAUUUACUUUGUGACUACAAACUUGGAUGCAAGUACAGAACUCCUAUACAGUCCCUUUGAAUACUUCCAGAAAUUCUGAUAGAUAAAACAGUCCUCCAGUUAAAAGAUAGCUUAAGAAUUCUGUGGGUUUUUUUUAAUGCUUCAACUCUUUCUUGCUAUUUGAAACCCUCAAGAGUCUCAGAUGAAAUUCUGGCCUGAGCAGAGGUCCCAUUGCCUUGCUUUGUCACACUGGAGCACUGAAUUGUCAUCAUUUUUUAAUUAUUAUUAUUUUUUAAGAAAGGAGAGAAAAGCAGUGGAGCAUUCUGCUUCCCAGUUGUUAAAUACAUAAAUGAGACGGUCAGCCACGAGGGAUUGGGACAGAAGGGGGGCUGGAAGAGAAAUCUCAGUGGAAAUUCAGUAAUCACAUUUCUCUUUUAAAAUAGCUUCGCAAUAGUUUCAAAAGACGUUAUUUAUAGAGCACAUGUAAUAGGAGUUUAGCAAGCAAGGCAGACGGAAGGCUUCAGUCCCAAAGCAUGGCUCAGUAUUCAGUGAGAGAACUACUGAAGACUGCCUGCAGCGUUUUAGCAUCCCUGAACUCCCACACUUGCCUGCACGUUCUUACCCUCUCAUCACCUCUGUGUUGGCCGAUCCGACCGAAAAACUAACCCCGGUGGUAUGUUUUGGUGAGAUAAGUUCCUCAGUCUGAUUCAUCACCCAGAGGCACAAGGGCAG
ensembl:lncRNA